AUGACAGAGGCAGGCCUAAGCAUGUUCCUUAUAUUCUUCUAUCUCCUAUUUAUUGCAUGGGUCACCAUCAUGAGUGGGCAUUUGCUUACUGGGCAAAGGAGUAGAACCCACAUAUGGUUGUUUGACCAUGCUGGAAGUGACCGCUUGCCCAAAACUGAAUUAGAAGGAGAGAGGUCUAAGGAGGCAAAGUUCAUCGACAAGUCACUGUCUGCACUAGGUGAUGUUAUUGCUUCCCUUACCUUCAAAGCGCCCAUGUGCAUGUUUAUUCACCUUCGUUUUUGUUUUGUACUAUCACUGAAACUGAUUGCGUGCAUGCAACAGUUCAUUAGUGCCUAUGUAAUUGAUUAUCCAUGA
rnacentral:rRNA from 1 species